rnacentral:snRNA from 1 species
GUACUUGCCUGACAGGGGAGACAGCAUGACCAGGAAGAUGGUUUUCUCAAGUUGUUUCCCCUGUGGCAGUCCAGAUGUGCAUGACCCUUGAAGUUUACUCAAAAGUAGGAAACAAGGUUGCAUAGUUUUGGGGUGGGGAGUGCAAAUGCACUA